GACGGAGGGGUCGAGCGUUGUUCGGAAUUAUUGGGCGUAAAGGGCGCGUAGGCGGAUCGGCGUGUCCGGCGUGAAAUCUCCACCACUCAACGGGGAGGCGUCGCUGGAAACUACCGAUCUGGAGUUCGGUAGAGGAGCAUGGAAUUCCGGGUGUAGCGGUGGAAUGCGUAGAUAUCCGGAAGAACACCUGUUGCGAAGGCGGUGCUCUGGGCCGAAACUGACGCUGAGGCGCGAAAGCUAGGGGAGCAAACGGG
rnacentral:rRNA from 1 species